GAGUUUGAUCAUGGCUCAGAACGUACGCUGGCGGCACGCCUAACACAUGCAAGUCGAACGAAGUAGCAAUACUUAGUGGCAGACGGGUGAGUAACAUGUAGGUAUCUGCCCUUUGGCCUGGAAUAACACGAGGAAACUUGUGCUAAUACCGGAUAAGUCUUUACGGAGAAAGCUUUAUGCACCAUUGGAUGAGCCUGCACUUGAUUAGUUUGUUGGUGGGGUAAUGGCCUACCAAGACUGUGAUCAAUAGCUGAUUUGAGAGGAUGAUCAGCCACAUUGGGACUGAGACACGGCCCAAACUCCUACGGGAGGCAGCAGUGGGGAAUCUUGCACAAUGGAGGAAACUCUGAUGCAGCGAUGCCGCGUGAGUGAAGAAGGCCCUUGGGUUGCAAAGCUCUUUCGUCGGGGAAGAAAAUGACUGUACCCGAAUAAGAAGGUCCGGCUAACUUCGUGCCAGCAGCCGCGGUAAUACGAAGGGACCUAGCGUAGUUCGGAAUUACUGGGCUUAAAGAGUUCGUAGGUGGUUGAAAAAGUUAGUGGUGAAAUCCCAGAGCUUAACUCUGGAACUGCCAUUAAAACUUUUCAGCUAGAGUAUGAUAGAGGAAAGCAGAAUUUCUAGUGUAGAGGUGAAAUUCGUAGAUAUUAGAAAGAAUACCAAUUGCGAAGGCAGCUUUCUGGAUCAUUACUGACACUGAGGAACGAAAGCAUGGGUAGCGAAGAGGAUUAGAUACCCUCGUAGUCCAUGCCGUAAACGAUGUGUGUUAGACGUUGGAAAUUUAUUUUCAGUGUCGCAGGGAAACCGAUAACACACCGCCUGGGGAGUACGACCGCAAGGUUAAAACUCAAAUGAAUUGACGGGGACCCGCACAAGUAGUGGAGCAUGUGGUUUAAUUCGAAGAUACGCGCAGAACCUUACCAACACUUGACAUGUUCGUCGCGACUCUAAGAGAUUAGAGUUUUCGGUUCGGCCGGACGAAACACAGGUGCUGCAUGGCUGUCGUCAGCUCGUGUCGUGAGAUGUUGGGUUAAGUCCCGCAACGAGCGCAACCCUCACUUUUAGUUGCCAUCAUUAAGUUGGGCACUCUGAAAGAACUGCCAGUGAUAAGCUGGAGGAAGGUGGGGAUGACGUCAAGUCCUCAUGGCCCUUACGUGUUGGGCUACACACGUGCUACAAUGGUAUCUACAACAGGAAGCAAGACUGCGAAGUUAAGCAAAUCCCUAAAAGAUACCUCAGUUCGGAUUGCACUCUGCAACUCGAGUGCAUGAAGCUGGAAUUACUAGUAAUCGUGGAUCAGCGUGCCACGGUGAAUGCGUUCCCGGGUCUUGUACACACCGCCCGUCACACCAUGGGAGUUGGUUCUACCUUAAGGCAAGGUUUAAAACCCUUGACCACGGUAUAGUCAGCGACUGGGGUGAAGUCGUAACAAGGUAACC
rnacentral:rRNA from 1 species